AAAACUUGUCGUAAGCCUGUGUUCACUUCCUUGUUUUUGGAGAUGCUGAGAUAAAAAGUUGUAUUUAAGAGCUGCUGCUGCUCUUGUGAAGUAUCCACACUCGGACAGACUGAAGCUACGCUGAGACACGAGACGAGAAGCAUCAUCUCAUCAUCGACGUCACGAUGAAGCUCCUGGCUCUCUGCGCUCUCCUCUGUGCCAUGGUGGCUCUGAGCAGCGCUGAAGCUGCUGCAGAGCCGGAACCUGAGAACGCAAAAUCAGGAGAGGUCGAUGUUGACAAGAGGACGUGCAGAUGGAGGCGUCCUUGUUGGAAUAGGACCGGUUGCAGAUGGAGGCGUCCUUGUUGGAAUAGGACCGGUUGCAGAUGGAGGCGUCCUUGUUGGACGAGGACCGGUCGCAG